rnacentral:rRNA from 1 species
AUUGAACUGAAGAGUUUGAUCAUGGCUCAGAUUGAACGCUGGCGGCAGGCCUAACACAUGCAAGUCGAGCGGAUGACGGGAGCUUGCUCCUUGAUUCAGCGGCGGAC